rnacentral:lncRNA from 1 species
CCGCUCGGCGGGAGCAGCCGGCAGAAGGCGGAGGAGGCCGACGGCGGGGCCGCCGAGGACAGGCGGCAGCAGCCCAUUCCCAGGAUCAACCCCCCGCCACCCAUCCUGCGCAAAAGGUCAAGCAAGACCUCGCCGAGCCUGGAGGCGGAGGCCAAGCCCGAGACCGCCGUCCACGCGAGCCUCCCCAGCCCCAGCUUGUCCAGCCUCACCGCCAGCUCGCCCACCCUCCCGGACCCCGAGGCGAGGACUCCGGCCCGCAGCGCUGCCUCCAGCACGGAGCUCGUCCCCGCGGGGACCUCCCAGCGCGCGCUGGCCAAGGACAGGACCGGAGAGAACRGACACGCGUCCCCCCCGUCCAGCACCCGUGACGCUGCGAAGGGGGAGGCCCUGGGCAGGGACCCGGCCGCCCCGGGCAGCCCCGCGGACAGCGCGCUGCCCUUCUCCCCGGCGGACGACACCUGCCUGCACAUCAGCUUCUCGGAGGAGGAGCUGUUUGAACCGGAGCUGGACGCCGCGCCGGGCCCCAGCAGGGUCCCCGCGUAGCCGGACCGCAGUCCCCGGCAGCCCCGUCCGCCCUCGCCGCCAGCCCGCGUGGGGCCGGGGGGAGCGGGUGCCUCUGCCCCACGCGGGAGGUCCCUCGGCGCACGGCGCUGCCGGAGCAGGACGCGACCUGCUCAGCCCCCGUCCUCGCUCUGCACCGGCUCUCGCUGCAUCGAGCCGCGGGGCAGCGCUUGCGCCCGGAGCCAUCGCCGCGCGCUGCGUCCCCGGGACGGGGCGGCCUCGGCCGCCGCCCGCAGCGCUGCUGCCCCGCUCCGCUUUCACGGAGGUGCGGUACGGGUUGGGCGUGCGCUGGGAAGCGCCAAGGGUCUGGGGGAGGAAAGGUGUGAGGACGACAUCGGGCCCUGGGGAAAGGCCCGGGCACGGCCGGACGGCCCGGGAGCAGGACGCGGGGGCCCAGGGCGGCGUUUGGCCGAAGGCGGGUUUGCGGACGUGGCGGAGGGUUGAGUUGGGAAGGUGCUGGGCAGCGGCGGAGACCAGGAGCAGCAGCUUUUCGGCAGCGGCGGGUGCACGAGCCGUUGGCGGCGGCRCUGAGCUGCGAGCUGACGGCAGAGGGCCCUUGUGACCGCCGAACGCGGCGCAGCGYGAUGCAGCACGGUGCAGCACGGCGCGGUGCAGCGAUGCCCCGGGGCUGCGCAUCCGCCUGCGGCACCCGCGGAAUCGCCAGCCGCGGUCAGGCUGUGCGUUAGCCGGGUAGAGCCAGACCGACCGGCGAUUAGGAGAGAGAAUACAGUGCAGUUUGGUAAGAGGCUUUUAAAGAGAAAAUAAACGUGUCAGACUUUCCA